AUGAACGCUAGCGACAGGCCUAACACAUGCAAGUCGAGGGGCAGCACAAGGAGCAAUCUGAGGUGGCGACCGGCGCACGGGUGAGUAACACGUAUGCAACCUGCCUGUAAGCGGGGAAUAACCCGUUGAAAGACGGACUAAUACCGCAUAAUACUAAAUUACUGCAUGGUAAUUUAUUUAAACAUUUAUGGCUUACAGAUGGGCAUGCGCAUGAUUAGCUAGUUGGAGAGGUAACGGCUCCCCAAGGCAACGAUCAUUAGGGGUUCUGAGAGGAAGGUCCCCCACACUGGUACUGAGACACGGACCAGACUCCUACGGGAGGCAGCAGUGAGGAAUAUUGGUCAAUGGACGAGAGUCUGAACCAGCCAAGUCGCGUGCAGGAAGAAUGUCCUAUGGAUUGUAAACUGCUUUUGCAGGGGAAUAAAGUGCAUCACGCGUGAUGUUUUGUAUGUACUCUGCGAAUAAGGAUCGGCUAACUCCGUGCCAGCAGCUGC
rnacentral:rRNA from 1 species